rnacentral:lncRNA from 1 species
AUGCUCAGAGGAAAACAAAAAUCAUUGGACAUUGACUCAAAACAUCAAUUAUUAGCAAGCUGUAGUCAGGAGGACAAGGCCAGGACGGCCCAACGUGUGACACAUAUGCAACGACAUGCUGUGGCUUAUGUGGAGGGUUGUGGCUUCUCCUAUUGCUUCGUGAUAGACUUUAUGAAGCACAGCUGCCUGACAGCUGGGAACGCUGUGGCCAGCUGUGUGCUCACGGAGCAGGAGGCAGAGAGGCUGCGUGAGCGGGUGAGAUUCGCUCCUCGCCUCAGACGACUACAAAAUCGCGUGUGCCUGAUGCUCAAGGGUAGCCAGGCUUGCAUAAAGCAGGAAGCUCCAGAAAUCUCAGCAAAUGAGAGGAAGAGUUACUGUGAUGAGCAGAGCUGAAGAAGGAAGAAAGCAGUUGAGAAGCAACUGAGGCUAAAGAUUGCAGGCAAAGGAGAAAAUGUUAUCUGCUAGCAAGCCACCAACAGGUGCUGCUGUGGAAAUGCAGACAAAUGAGGUUCCUGCUGAUUUAAACAUCAUUUUACAGGUACAUUAUGCCUUUUCAUAAUAAGAUCAGUCCUUCUAAAUGACAUUUCUCUAGCUGUUUGUAUGGAUUCUGUGUUUAUGUUUUCAGGUAUCUAAAUUUUGCCCAUGUUUUAUGCCUCUGUUUCAAUUACAAAUGAUUACCAUUUUAAUGAAAGUUAAGACAGAAAAAUACCAAAAUGUUAACACCUUUCAACUAAUAAUCUCAAACUGUUUGG